rnacentral:rRNA from 1 species
GGGAGAGGCAGAGAUGCGUAUCCGAUGGACAGCAGGUUUAAGAUUCCUGCACCCCUUGUUAUCAGAACUGCGGGGACACGGGAAGGGAAGCAGAGCCGGGAAUGGAAAGCCCGGUGCAAGCGAAGUAGUCGCAGGGUUGGAAAAUCCGCCCUGCAUGAGACGAAGGCGUGAUGCGGAGCGAAAUGAAGUAGUGAAGCUGCGGCCCCUUCCUGUCGAGAAAAGCCGCUAUCGUGUAGCAAGGGCCCGUACCGUAAACCGACACAGGUGGAUGAGGAGAGGAUCCUAAGGCCGGCGGGAGAAGUGUUGUUAAGGAACUCGGCAAAAUGACUCCGUAACUUCGGGAGAAGGAGUGCUGCGCAAGCAGCCGCAGAGAAAUGGCCCAAGCAACUGUUUAGCAAAAACACAGGUCUAUGCGAAACCGAAAGGUGAGGUAUAUGGGCUGACGCCUGCCCGGUGCUGGAAGGUUAAGGGGAGAGCUUAGCGCAAGCGAAGGUUUGAACUUAAGCCCCAGUAAACGGCGGCCGUAACUAUAACGGUCCUAAGGUAGCGAAAUUCCUUGUCGGGUAAGUUCCGACCCGCACGAAAGGCGUAAUGAUUUGGGCACUGUCUCAACAACACACCCGGUGAAAUUGAAAUACCAGUGAAGAUGCUGGUUACCCGCGCCAGGACGGAAAGACCCCAUGAGCUUUACUCCAGCCUGAUACUGGGAUUCGGUAUUGCAUGUACAGGAUAGGUGGGAGGCUAAGAACUUAUGGCGCCAGCCGUGAGGGAGCCGAUGUUGGGAUACCACCCCUGCAGUACUGGGUUUCUAACCUGCGCCCGUGACCCGGGCGGGGGACAAUGUCAGGCGGGGAGUUUGACUGGGGCGGUCGCCUCCGAAAGGGUAUCGGAGGCGCUCAAAGGCCUCCUCAGGAUGGUUGGAAACCAUCCAGAGAGUGCAAAGGCAGAAGGAGGCUUGACUGCGACACCGACGGGUGGAGCAGGUACGAAAGUAGGACUUAGUGAUCCGGUGGCAUAAAGUGGGAUUGCCAUCGCUCAACGGAUAAAAGCUACCCUGGGAUAACAGGCUUAUCACUCCCAAGAGUUCACAUCGACGGAGUGGUUUGGCACCUCGAUGUCGGCUCAUCGCAUCCUGGAGCUGGAGCAGGUUCCAAGGGUUGGGCUGUUCGCCCAUUAAAGCGGUACGCGAGCUGGGUUCAGAACGUCGUGAGACAGUUCGGUCCCUAUCCGGCGCGGGCGCAGGAUAUCUGAGAGGAGCUGUCCUUAGUACGAGAGGACCGGGAUGGACCGUCCGCUGGUGGACCGGUUGUCAUGCCAAUGGCACGGCCGGGUAGCCAGACGGGAAGGGAUAAACGCUGAAGGCAUCUAAGCGUGAAGCCCCCCUCAAGAUGAGAUAUCCAUACUCGAAAGAGUGAGAGACCCCUUAGAGACGAUGAGGUAGAUAGGGCAGAGAUGGAAGCACAGCGAUGUGUGGAGUUGACUGUUACUAAUCGGUCGAUAGCUC